UACUCCGGUAGGCAAGGCUACCGCAGGGAUAUGGGUUGCUGCCGCGAAGCAGUGGAGACACUGCCAGUUGGUUUGAGCAGGCGACAUCGAAGCACAAGGUGUCAUCUAAUGCAAUUUCACGCCCUGCGAUGCUAAAGCUCAGACGGUG
rnacentral:sRNA from 1 species